rnacentral:rRNA from 1 species
GAUGAACGCUGGCGGUGUGCCUAAUACAUGCAAGUCGAGCGAACAGACGAGGAGCUUACUCCUCUGACGUUAGCGGCGGACGGGUGAGUAACACGUGGAUAACCUACCUAUAAGACUGGGAUAACUUCGGGAAACCGGAGCUAAUACCGGAUAACAUGUUGAACCGCAUGGUUCAACAGUGAAAGACGGUCUUGCUGUCACUUAUAGAUGGAUCCGCGUCGCAUUAGCUAGUUGGUAAGGUAACGGCUUACCAAGGCAACGAUGCGUAGCCGACCUGAGAGGGUGAUCGGCCACACUGGAACUGAGACACGGUCCAGACUCCUACGGGAGGCAGCAGUAGAGAAUCUUCCGCAAUGGGCGAAAGCCUGACGGAGCAACGCCGCGUGAGUGAAGAAGGUCUUCGGAUCGUAAAACUCUGUUAUUAGGGAAGAACAAAUGUGUAAGUAACUAUGCACGUCUUGACGGUACCUAAUCAGAAAGCCACGGCUAACUACGUG